rnacentral:pre_miRNA from 1 species
UUGUAGAGACUCCAUCAAUGUUUGACAUGUGAAAGUUUUUGUAGAGACACAAAUACUUUCACAUGUCAAACAUUGAUGGAGUCUCUACAA